rnacentral:rRNA from 1 species
AUGAGCAUCAAGAAGGGCCGUCGGUCCUGGCCCAAGGAAUGGCACAUGGAAUGCAAGCUCGAUUCCACCCGUAUAAUGGUUGAUGCGGCUGGUACCGUCGCUACCUUCCCAACCUUGUCGUCUCUUUGCGUUGGCCUGCCCACACUCAGCCUGCAGAAUGAUGCCAUUGUUUACUUCCUCGCCAAGAUUCACUUCAGCCCAAGCCAACACACAGCUUGCGUGCUUGCUGUUGACAUGAAGAAGGAGACUGCUGAGCAAGUGGUGGAGUUCCCUGCUGAGAGGACUUAUUGUGUAGCCCAGGGCUACGACGCAAGUAGGAUCUCGGCAUAUCUCCAACCCGCGCCAGGUACGAAGCAAAUACAUAAACGACCAGGGGUGCCGUUGCUGAAAUCACCUAGCAAGAAGCAUACUGGAGAUGUUGACGCCAUGGUGGAGUGA